rnacentral:rRNA from 1 species
UACGUAGGGUGCAAGCGUUAAUCGGAAUUACUGGGCGUAAAGCGUGCGCAGGCGGUUAUGUAAGACAGAUGUGAAAUGCCCGGGCUUAACCUGGGAACUGCAUUUGUGACUGCAUGGCUAGAGUUUGGCAGAGGGGGGGUAGAAUUCCACGUGUAGCAGUGAAAUGCGUAGAUAUGUGGAGGAACACCGAUGGCGAAGGCAGCCCCCUGGGUCAAGACUGACGCUCAUGCACGAAAGCGUGGGGAGCAAA